CUCCCGCCGGCGACCGGCGCACGGGUGAGUAACACGUAUGAAACCUGCCCGUAGCAGGGGGAUAAGCGGAAGAAAUUCCGUCUAAUACCGCGUAACAACCCAUGGAGGCAUCUCUGUGGGUUUAAAGGAAGCGAUUCCGGCUACGGAUGGUCAUGCGUCGCAUUAGCUUGUUGGCGGGGUAACGGCCCACCAAGGCGACGAUGCGUAGGGGUUCUGAGAGGAAGGUCCCCCACACUGGUACUGAGACACGGACCAGACUCCUACGGGAGGCAGCAG
rnacentral:rRNA from 1 species